rnacentral:rRNA from 1 species
GAUGAACGCUGGCGGCGUGCCUAAUACAUGCAAGUCGAGCGAACAGACGAGGAGCUUGCUCCUCUGACGUUAGCGGCGGACGGGUGAGUAACACGUGGAUAACCUACCUAUAAGACUGGGAUAACUUCGGGAAACCGGAGCUAAUACCGGAUAACAUGUUGAACCGCAUGGUUCAACAGUGAAAGAUGGUCUUGCUGUCACUUAUAGAUGGAUCCGCGCCGCAUUAGCUAGUUGGUAAGGUAACGGCUUACCAAGGCAACGAUGCGUAGCCGACCUGAGAGGGUGAUGGGCCACACUGGAACUGAGACACGGUCCAGACUCCUACGGGAGGCAGCAGUAGGGAAUCUGCCGCAAUGGGCGAAAGCCUGACGGAGCAACGCCGCGUGAGUGAUGAAGGUCUUCGGAUCGUAAAACUCUGUUAUUAGGGAAGAACAAAUGUGUAAGUAACUAUGCACGUCUUGAGGGUACCUAAUCAGAAAGCCACGGCUAACUACGUG